AGUUCGUGGAGUGAUCUGUCUGCUUAAUUGCGUUUCAAAUUUUUAACCGAGGACCGGGUUUUGGUUUGGCUAGUGGUCCUACGAUGACUGUGAACUGUCAUGUCUUCGGAUGUACGACUAUCGGUCUAGGAUCACAUGACUUGCCCCUGGGACUCUUUUGAACGCAACGGACGUGAUUGCAACCCCUUGUUGAGAUUAGAGAUAGUCUCGAUAUUCACUGGCCAAACUGGCUGCUUUAUGCAGUCUUGUUGAAUGGUGGAUAAACUCGGGGGACUGCUGACUAUAACCAUUUCUCAAAACAGAGGAAGGUUGCGGCAAUAACAGGUCUGUGAUGCCCUCAGAUGUCCCGGGCUGCACACGUGCUACAAUGAGUGGCGCAAUGUGCUAAUGUUUUAAGGGAUAAGCGUGCGGCCAGUAGAACGUCGGCAAUUGCCCUGGCGUCUUCUACCGCACGAUUAUCAGCCUUCCCUUAACAGGGCGGGCAACCUUUUCAAAAUACCGGUUUGAUGGUAAAGUAUAGAGUCGUUUUUUUUGGAUGGUGGUUUACGAACCAAUACCAUCCGCAACUGCUCGCGAGUUUGUGGUUCUGGUGACUCA
rnacentral:rRNA from 1 species